UCUUCUUCAUGAAGCUUUGGUUGAGUAAACAAGAUCAGUCACAAAAUGUGAAAGAAAGAAAGACAGAAAGAACAUACAACUCUUCCUGUAGCUUUCUUCUCCCUCUUUUCCGUUGAAAAUAUGGACAAUAGAGUUUGUUGUCUCAUCAAGGUGAAGGACACCGUACUGAUUGAUUUAGGGACUGGCAAGAUACCCAACUUUAUCAAAUUGGACACAGAUCUCAAGACUGAGUCCCCAGUGAAUUUGUGACCCCACAAUGGAGAUCUAAUGGAGGUUUCUGGAGCAGUUGGCACAUCUCUAGGAGACACAUCUUGAAUUUCAGAAGAAAUAUGUGCCAUCUCAAAUAAAAUUUUCUUCAGCUACUUUUCUCACCUUGUUUUUCAACCCUGCGAGUUCACAUGCUGCUUUGGCAGACCUACACAGAUAAACCGUCUAGACCAUCACAGUGGUUCUCAACCUGAGUAGCUGUGACACCACAAGAUGACUGGUCUCCUAGCAAUUAAAGUGUAACAUUCAGCCAGUGUUCACUUCCCUAUGAAAUUUAUCCAGUUAAAGCAAGAUAUGGGCUGCUUACUUAAACAGUAACUUAAGAAAAUGAGAUCUGCAAAAUCUCAUUCCUAAAGAGUCUUAAACACAUCACAUAAAUAAAUCCAUUUCGUUUCUGAAAUAAAAGUGAUUUCUCUCCCUUCUACACACAUACUCUUAGCGCCAGUAGUGUUCCCAAGCCACACUUUGGUCUGCUCGCCUGUGUGCAGUAAAGCCAAUCUACUUACACCCGGUUGUGGUGAAGGUAAGUGUAGCCUUUAUUGCAGGUGCCAAGCAAGGAGUCCAGGCAGCUAGUGCUCAAAAGGCCUGAACUCCCUGCAGGCUUUCAGGGAAAGGCUUUUAAAGACAGGGUGAAGGGGGUGGGUUGUGGGUUGCAUGAUCAGCUCGUGGACAUUCUUCUGAUUGGUUGGUGGUGAGGUCAUUGUGAGUCAGCGUCAUCAACCUUCUGGUUCCAACCAGUCUGCAGUCUGUGUGCUUGUGGGCAGCAUGAAGUUAACUUCUCCCACCUGGUGGGGGUUUCAGUAUCUGCAAAACAGCUCAAAGGGCAUGGCUCAGAAUAUGAUUUAUAGCCCUGGAGGAGGAACUAAAGGUCCUUCACUUUGUUUAAUGGCUAAACUAUUAUUAUUUGUGUUUUGCUUCACUGUUUUCCUCUCUUUCUGCGUAUUCUGACUUCUCUGAUUAAAUUUGCUCUUUGGAACUUGAGGAAGGUCAAGGAGGGUAAAGUUUUUCUACAGACAAGGGCAGGCAGAGGACAUUGUGGGGAGUGUCUGUUCCAGGAAGCCUCCAUAGUUACAAUGCCCCCCUUUUUUUUGAUACCCCUCAGUCUUGAGGGACAGGUAGAGAAAAAGAAAGGGAAUAAAGUUUUGGAUAGAGAGGUUAAUUAUAAACAUGGCAGAAGAACUCAGUUUUAGUUUCCAUUUCUGUUUCAAUUUUCCUGAACUCUUUGAGGGAAUGGGGCAACAACCACUUUGGCUACCACCUAAUGAAAUGGAGCAUAGACCUGCCUAAUUUGGGAAUGGACACAGAGCUGGAAAUACUGCUGAGUUUCAAGUUUAGCAUCAAUAUUUUGUAGUAUGAAAACAUUACUUCUCUCUUUGAUUGUUUUGUUACAGCACCUGGACACACAUUUGAAAAUUAGCCAACAUAUUACAAUGAGGAUCAUGAUCAAAAAGAGUCCUCUAAUUUUAGAUGCAACCAGAAAAAAUAAGGUUUGGAGUGUUUCCUCUUUAAAUAUAUUCAGUAACCAAGUAAGCUUUUAAAUUAUUCUAUAUUUGGGUUUUUCAUUUUUCCAGGGUUUUUAUACAUAAUAGGAGCUAUUGGCCACUAGUAUCUCUCUCUGUGUCACUCUCUCUCUCUCUUCUUUUUUUGCCAAAAUGUAAUUUAAAGCAAUUUUAUUAGCUCAUAGUAUUCUGGCUGAAUAAUCUAGCACCUUUUGCUGGGAGGCUCUAUCUUGAGUUGGCUCAUUUGCCACUACUAUUUCUAAAGUAGGAGAUGGGUUUCACAGUUAUGAAGAGACCUUGAGACCAGAAGGUUGCAGCUGGCAGCUGCUAACAGAUACUGUUUUGAGAAAGGCUGGUAGUGUCCUUACAUUUGAUAAAGUUUAGGAAACUCAGGUUCUCAGUAGUAUAAGAACAUGUCUGAACUCACGUCAACAGUGGGCACCCAGCUCCAUUUUGGAGGCUUGAACCACAGUUACUCCAUUCUGAUUUUUAAGUGUAUCUUUCAUUAAUGGCUAAAGCCAAUGCACAGUGCAUGUUUUAUAGGCCACAAACAGGAUAUUUCAGUUAGCUUAAAUUUCAUAUUCAAUCAUGUAUAAGCCAGAGUCACAUUACCUGAGUAUGUGAACAUUUCCUCCAUCAUUUCCCCCUUUUGAUUGCAAAUCUUUCAGGAAAAAGCAUUGAUGAUCAAAAUAUCUGUCUGUCGUUGCUGGGUUGUUUGAGAUGCCUGCCCCAGGUCCAGAUCAUGUCCCUUGGUGCUAGGCCUCCUUCAUAUUGGCCUAGUUAUCCACAUUGGGGGAAAACUAAUCAGAUAUCACAAACGUGUUCAGAAAUGUGUUAAAUGGGGAAACAUUUUAUAGGGUAUACAUUUUAUCAAUCAUACCCAGUUGUCACAUAAGCACUGUACCCGUGCUUCCAGCAAUAAAUUUAAAGCAAGCAGUGUUACAUAUCAUGAGCAGUUAUACUCUGUGAAAACUCCAUUAGAGAAUUAUUUUCCUGUUUUAAACACUGAGGGUAACAAAAUUAUAGUAGAACAAUAACUUUCAAAGUUGAUAGGGAGACAAAUAUUUGGUAAACAGUAGUACAGUUGAAUUCAUAG